GCGAGAGUGGCGAAAUUGGCAGACGCGCUGGACUUAGGAUCCAGUGAGGCAACUCGUAGGGGUUCGAGUCCCCUCUCUCGCA
rnacentral:tRNA from 1 species